UUACUUACCUGGACAGGGUUGACGGCCGAUCAAAAAGGGCCAUGGCCUAGAUCAAUGGCUCGCAUUGCACUUGGCAAGCGUGCUGGUCUACCAUCUCCCCUAGAGGGAGAGUGGACGUCAUAAAUGGUAGAGGGGUUAUGCAUUCGCGUGGCCCCUGC